rnacentral:rRNA from 1 species
GACGAACGCUGGCGGCGUGCUUAACACAUGCAAGUCGAACGGUGAAAGCGGAGCUUGCUCCGCUGGAUCAGUGGCGGACGGGUGAGUAACACGUGGGCAACCUGCCCCUGACUUCGGGAUAACUCCUCGCAAGAGGUGCUAAUACCGGAUACGAAUCCUGCAGGCAUCUGCGGGAUGGGAAAGAUUUUCGGUCAGGGAUGGGCCCGCGGGCUAUCCGCUUGUUGGUGAGGUAGUGGGUCACCAAGGCGACGACGGGUAGCCGGCCUGAGAGGGCGACCGGCCACACUGGGACUGAGACACGGCCCAGACUCCUACGGGAGGCAGCAGUGGGGAAUAUUGCGCAAGGGGCGAAAGCCUGACGCAGCAACGCCGCGUGAGGGAUGACGGCCUUCGGGUUGUAAACCUCUUUCAGCAGGGAAGAAGCGAAAGUGACGGUACCUGCAGAAGAAGCACCGGCUAACUACGUGCCAGCAGCCGCCGUAA